rnacentral:rRNA from 1 species
UACAGAGGUGGCAAGCGUUGUUCGGAAUUACUGGGCGUAAAGGGCGCGUAGGCGGUCUUUUUAAGUUCCGUGUGAAAUCCCUCGGCUCAACUGGGGAACGGCACGGGAAACUGGAAGGCUUGAGUUCGGGAGAGGGAAGCGGAAUUCCGGGUGUAGCGGUGAAAUGCGUAGAUAUUGGGAGGAACACCAGUGGCGAAGGCGGCUACCUGGACCGGUACUGACGCUGAUGCGCGAAAGCGUGGGUAGCAAACAGG